GGAGCGUGGGAAGACUCCAGAAUCCACUCUGGCUGGAAUCCGGUGGAUACAGCAGUGUUUACAGAACAGUUCUCCACAGUCACUGUCCACAUGGGUCAGUGGGACCAAGAAGCACACUGCUAAUGUGUGGACUCUGACCAGCAACAUCCAGCAAGACGCAGACAGCGUUUUCUAUCUCCCAGCUGGAGAUUUUUUUGUUUGUCUGUGACUGGAGAGUCAGAUUUUUGUUGAGGCUGGAGGAACAGCCUCACACUUGCAGAGGUUAAUACAUGCUACUGAUCCCUGAUGGGAGAAUCAUCACCUCUGCCAACAAAGAAGCCUGGUGGAUAUUUGUUUACAGACUGAUGAUGGGACAUCAUGCUCUGCAUCUUCAAAUCUUUUUGCAGGAUCAGAAAACAAAACCAGGAGGCCUGUAAAUGUUUCUUCUCCAAUUGGAUGAUGAUAAGACUGUGACACGGGAUGCCACCUUUAGUCUUGUGAUGAAGCAAAGCUCAGGAAGAAGUGUGAUUAAAUGGUACCCACAUGUGUGCUGCUGAGAAGGAUGUACAGGGGCACCUGCAGCCAAAUCCAAGCCUCCUCAAAUGGUGAUGGUGUGGAGAGACGGUGGUGUUUCCUCAGAAGAACUAGCAGAGUCACAAAGGGCACGAGUCCUUCUCACCACCUUGACUUGCUGACUGAUGCUCGUCUGCACUGCACAGAGGAAAUCAACUGACCGAGGAGUGUUUCUGAGUGAGGGAGAGAGGAGUCAUCAUCCAGGUAAAGUGACGUGGAUCAGUGGAUACACUUGUCUCUCCUUUAAAGGAGAUACUCUUAGAGAGAGACGAUCAGAGUCAUCCUUAAAUGUUAGUGCUUUCAAAUACACAAACAUUUUUAAAGGACAAAAACGAACAUCCAACUUUGACUGUAAUACAAUUAAAUCUUUGCAUGUGUGUUUUCAAACUCUCAGAUGGGAAGGAUAUCAGUCCUGGACUGUCUAACCUGCAGGAGCAGCACUGAAUAACCACCACACAUGAGCAUGUUCCUGCAACAUUCAGCAUCUGAUCUGCCAUCUGUGUGCUUCUGCUUUUGUGUCAAAUGUCAAACAGCUGGAGAGGAAACUACACCAGUGUACUGGGAUGUUUCACCAACACGUGCCAGACGCUGUAACUUCAUGGUUUCAUCACCAGAGACGGCCCCGCCCACCUCAGGACCUCGCCAUUGAUCAUGAUGAUUAUAAUGAUGACAGCGAGCGGAACUAAGACUGUAAAAAUCCACGACCAGAAUGUUUAGAUGCUUUCUAAUUAUUAAUGAAUACUGAGAGCCUCUUUCUGUGUUUUGUCUGUUUUGUUUUGUUUUGUUUUUUACCUCAUUUGUUACUAACAAAGUUCACCAAACUCACACAGUUUACAUUCUGUAUGUUUCCAUCUUUACCAGCCACACUCUACCCGCAAUUAAGCAAAUAAUCCUUAGAAAUUGUCGUUUUUCUCUUUUGUAAUUGAUGAUAAUUCAGUGAAUAUAGUGCGCUGCUUCCUUUUAUUGCAUCACACAUUGCUUUAAGUUUUUCAGUGUCGUUAUUUUUUUACUGCUGUUUGAAUUCUCUGCAUGUUUGACCCUGUAGACUGUUUAAUGGACUGCUUGUCUUGUAACCGCUGCCUGUUUUUGACUGAAGAUUUGGAUUUCUGACUUUAACACAGCCUCUGCGUGUCCUCCCUUUGUGUCCUCUUCCUCUGUGAAUCUGUUGCAUGUGUCACAGAUUCAUUUUAUUAACAGCUUUCCCACAGUGAGUUGCAUCAGCAUUCAUUCACAGCACAUUUCAGAAGGAUUCAGAUUAAUACAGUGAUCUUAUAGUCAGAAUUAUCCUGACA